CAACUUUCAGCAAUGGAUCUCUU
rnacentral:rRNA from 1 species